rnacentral:lncRNA from 1 species
CACAAGGUUUAUGACCACAAAAGGAAGGUUGGGAUUGAUUUUGGGAGUUGAGGUCUGAACAGUUUAGGAAUUAGGGGCCAAAAAGGGGCCCAAGUAAGCAUUAUUCUUGGUUUUCGCACCAUAACUUUAGUAUAAGUAAAUAGAAAUCUUUGAAAUUUAAACACAAGGUUUAUGACCAUAAAAGGAAGGUUGGGUUUGAUUUUGGGAGUUUUGGUCCCAACAGGUUUUUUAGGAAUAAGGGACCCAAAGGGUCCAAAAUUGAACUUUGUUUGAUUUCAUCAAAAAUUGAAUAAUUGGGGUUUUUUGAUAUGCCGGAUCUAACUGUGUAUGUAGAUUCUUAAUUUUUUGGUCCCGUUUUCCAAUUGGUCUACAUUAAGGUCCAAAGGGUCCAAAAUUAAACUUAGUUUGAUUUUAACAAAAAUUGAAUCCUUGGGGUUCUUUGAUAUGCUGAAUUCUAAAAAUGUACUUAGAUUUUUUAUUAUUGGCCCAGUUUUCAAGUUGGUCCAAAUCGGGGUCCAAAAUUAAACUUUGUUUUGAUUUCAUCAAAAUUGAAUAAUUGGGGUUCUUUGAUAUGCCAAAUCUAACUGUGUAUGUAGAUUCUUAAUCUUUAGUCCCGUUUUCAAAUUGGUCUACAUUAAAUACCAAAGGGUCC